GAAACCAUAGAUGUAAAGGUGAAGAGUGUCGGCAAAUACACUUUCUGCCAUGUGGAAAAAGCUGGCCUGCAGUGAAAGGGAGAAAUACAGCAGACACACAUGGAGACUCUGAGGCAAGAAACAAACAGACCUUUCAAGAAGUAUUAAGGAAGCCAGAUCUCAUGCCUUACAGCACAGUGGGAAGAACCACUGCCUCCCAUUGGUUUGGAGGUGGAGGGUUGAAUGUGUGCAACAGAGCUGCUGUGAAUCCUGCCAUGGAGGCAUAUGUAAGAUGUGCUGAAGCCUUGCCUUCACCACAAGGGACACUGAG
rnacentral:lncRNA from 10 species